GCCGGAUUGGCGGAAUGGCAGACGCGGAGCACUCAAAAUGCUUUGUUCGUAAGGACGUGCGGGUUCAAGUCCCGCAUCCGGCA
rnacentral:tRNA from 2 species